ACUGCAAGUCGAGCGGAUGAAAGGGAGCUUGCUCCCUGGAUUCAGCGGCGGACGGGUGAGUAACACGUGGGCAACCUGCCUGUAAGACUGGGAUAACUCCGGGAAACCGGGGCUAAUACCGGAUAACUUCUUUUCUCGCAUGGGGAGAGGUUGAAAGACGGUUUUGCUGUCACUUACAGAUGGGCCCGCGGCGCAUUAGCUAGUUGGUGGGGUAACGGCCUACCAAGGCGACGAUGCGUAGCCGACCUGAGAGGGUGAUCGGCCACACUGGGACUGAGACACGGCCCAGACUCCUACGGGAGGCAGCAGUAGGGAAUCUUCCGCAAUGGACGAAAGUCUGACGGAGCAACGCCGCGUGAGUGAUGAAGGCCUUCGGGUCGUAAAACUCUGUUAUCAGGGAAGAACAAGUGCCGUUUAACUGACGGCGCCUUGACGGUACCUGACCAGAAAGCCACGGCUAACUACGUGCCAGCAGCCGCGGUAAUACGUAGGUGGCAAGCGUUGUCCGGAAUUAUUGGGCGUAAAGCGCGCGCAGGCGGCUUCUUAAGUCUGAUGUGAAAGCCCACGGCUCAACCGUGGAGGGUCAUUGGAAACUGGGAGGCUUGAGUGCAGAAGAGAAGAGCGGAAUUCCACGUGUAGCGGUGAAAUGCGUAGAGAUGUGGAGGAACACCAGUGGCGAAGGCGGCUCUUUGGUCUGUAACUGACGCUGAGGCGCGAAAGCGUGGGGAGAGAACAGGAUUAGAUACCCUGGUAUUCCACGCCGUAAACGAUGAGUGCUAAGUGUUAGGGGGUUUCCGCCCCUUAGUGCUGCAGCAAACGCAUUAAGCACUCCGCCUGGGGAGUACGGCCGCAAGGCUGAAACUCAAAGGAAUUGACGGGGGCCCGCACAAGCGGUGGAGCAUGUGGUUUAAUUCGAAGCAACGCGAAGAACCUUACCAGGUCUUGACAUCCCGCUGACCACUCUGGAGACAGAGUUUUCCCUUCGGGGACAGCGGUGACAGGUGGUGCAUGGUUGUCGUCAGCUCGUGUCGUGAGAUGUUGGGUUAAGUCCGCAACGAGCGCAACCCUUGAUCUUAUUUGCCAGCAUUUAAUGGGGCACUCUAAGGUGACUGCCGGUGACAACCGGAAGAA
rnacentral:rRNA from 2 species